rnacentral:lncRNA from 1 species
UACUUUGUUUAUCACACCAAAGUUGAUUUCGACCGAGCUUCUGAGACCGGAAUUUCCAAUAGGAUGGCUUCGUUCUCGUUCCAAGAUGGUGACUUUGAAGACUUGAAGAAACUCUGCUGCGCUAUAGCUGAUGGCCUUGUUACCUAAGCCUGCACCGUAUGCAAGCAUCAACAAUGUGUGCAGCGGUUCAUUAUGUAAAAUCACCCAGAAUGUUACUGCAACUAUAAACAUAUCGUGUAUCAUGCUCUCCCAUUCCCCGUGUUUAGCGUGUUAUGCCUAAAUACUAUGAAACAUAUGUCUCAAGACAUCCGGGUUGAUGAAUAAAGCUUGCUGUUCUCCUCAUGAAUCAAUCUCUGAAUAUUUGCAAGGAUUGUGCAAUGAUAUUUCAGCUACUACAUUUGCAGUUUACAGAAUCAACUUUGCAGUCUGUGAGACAUUGAAUUACUUCAGAACUGAACCUGUGAUAUAGCAGAUGACUUGGUUUGUUUCAUGUGGUUUGCUUCAGAAGGCACAUGCCCUUGAUCUGAUAGCUUUGUUGCAGAAACAGUUUUUACGUGGAUGUGUUAUAAAUUUAUAUAGCUUGCAGUUGUUACUGGGAGUUCAAAGAUUGUAUGUAGAGAAGGAAAUCUGUUGCAGUUAUAAGUUGUGCAUCGACGUUAAGAUGGAUCUUAUCACUCAUUGCAUCGGCCGCAACAUCCUGAGGCAGCAUCAGAUUCAGCAGGGUUUGUUGCAUGAUGGAAAAGAAAAAAAAACAGAAAAUUGUGUAUGGUUGCAGCCGGUUUUCAUCUCGAUCCUAUGUAUGGUUGCAGCCGGUUUUCAUUUCAUGGCAGUUUGGACAGUAAGCCAGUUUCUUGUGUGUGAUGGUGGCAGUUUUGGACCAAAAAAAUCCCUAGAUUUAAAUGAAUUGCCAUGGCAGUUUUAAAAAAUGCCCCCUACCCCCUGGCGUCCUUUUUUUAAUGGCUUUAGAAGUCCAAUUGAGUCCAAACACAAUCAACUUAAAUAACUUGGAUUUUUAUGAAAUAACUACUGACCAAUAUUUUAUAUUUUUGAUAAUGGUGUUAGUUCGUUCUUGAAGAAUAUUCAAAUAAGGUUACAGACAAAUUUAAACAAGCCCAUAAUAAGUUUUAAUACCUUCGAAAAUACAACCACAAACAAGGGAAAUCAACUAUAUUUAUUGAUUGGCUAAUUUAUUCAACAUUCCAAAUUUCGAAAUAUUUGGAUGUUACAGACGGCUCGCCUUAAGAUCUUAUUGCACGUUGCUUCACAUCCUGAAGCAACUUGAGGCAGAAUCAGCAUGGAAAGAAGCAGGCGCAGUAACUAAGUUCAGGAUAUUGAUGGUCCGUGUCACACUCCGCAUACGGGUAACCCUCAUGUUCGCAGUCCUCUGUGCAUUGGUCACCCUUGCAUUGCGAAGUAGGGUACGUCUGGCUUAACCGCCUGCAGUGGCCUUCAGAUCCUGCUGUAAAAUAUGGGCAACAUUUGAAUAACAACAUUAGAAAACAAAACACUGAGAAACUAUUAUAUUAUUCAGAUAAUUAUUCCAGGCAAGGCUUACCAGGAAGCAAGAGGAGUGACAUGAGCAAAAUUAAGCACAAGCUUGCCAUCUUGACCUUGUCGACCUCCAUAUCUCCAGGAAUAAACACCCAAGCAAAGAAGGAUGGAAUUCCAAAUAGGUUAACUUAGUAGUGCACCACUGAUCCCUUCUUAUAGAGAUGGAUGAUGGAACCUUACAAUAAACCAAACAGAAAAGGUUGUAUAUAUCUGGAUGAUGCAAUGAUGUGUUGUGUAAAUUGAAAAGACACUAUAGGUUGUUGUGGGUUGGUGUGUGCGCGCUCGCACGCGUGCGUGGAAUGGUGCCUUUGUUGCUUAGGUGGAACCCUAAAAAACAGAAAUUGUCAUAUUUAUCUGGAUGAUGCAUGGUAUAUAUCCAGAAGAUGCAACGAUACAUUGUACAUUGAAGAAAAGACAUUCUCAGGGGUGAUAAAAGACACCCUAGGUAGUUGAUACAUGUGUGUGUGUGUGUUGGUGUGAGGUAUUGCCUGAUGUUUGUACUGCUCAAAAUGGUGCAUUUGUUGGUUAGACAGAACCCUACAAAAGGCAAACAGAAAAUGUCAUUAUAUGGAUGAUGCAAUUGUAUAUAUCCGAAUGAUGCAGCAAUGUGUCACACACUGGAAAAAGACACCGAGACAUGAUAAAAAGGCACCCCGGGUUAGUUGAUACAUGCAUGUCUUUUAUGUGAGGUAUGUCAUGAUAUUUGUAUCGCUCAAAAUGGUGCCUUUGGAUCUUAGCAGUAGGAAAAAAACACCCAGCGUAUCACGCAUUGGAUUAGGAAAUAAUGUUGCUGGGGUAAUUGCACUUGUCGAUGUAGUAAGUGAAGCAUGCUUGGCUUUGCACGAGAACAAUAUUGUGCACAGCCUAAUGAUGUCCAACCACGGCAGAAAUGUUUUCUUAUUCCCCAGGUGAAACUCGCUAAUACAUUGUGUUCCAUCUCUAAAUAAAUGUUUUAUCAACAAAGGAAUUGUUAGGUGUUAAUCUCUGGUGUUUGAUUUUAGGUGAAAAAUCUGGUCACUGGCUGCUGUCUUUCUGCCUGGGAGUGCUGUGGCUACUUUGUUUAUCACACCAAAGUUGAUUUCGACCGAGCUUCUAGUAGAAAUUCUGAAUUGGUAUAAUGGCUCUUUCUUACAUUACAACUUACAAUACAAGAGUUUCUUACAGGAGUGAAACAAAACUAAAAAAAAAGAUUAAAGAAUAACGUUUGACAAAAUGAUUAAUGCAAAAUGAUCCAUUAAAGAAAAGAAUUGAUACAACAAUUUGAUUACUUAAUCAAUUAGUAGUAUCCCUGCCAUGAUUUUCAAAUCUUUUCUAUUUAGUAGUCUAAGUUUCUCGAUGAGGAUAAUUAAUUCGGUCGUUGUGGUCGGACUCUAUUAUGGAUUUCUACUACAUUCUCCAUAGGUCCCUCUUAGAUCUUCUUUCUCCAAUCUUGGAUUAGGGAAGAAGGAGAUAUUCGCGACUACUGGCGAUUUCAUUAUGGGGCAGCUCAUGAUCUUCAUAUCGAUCUAUUGUCCACCUCUGUAUCUAUUCUUUCUUAGCUAAACAGGUGGAAGAUCUAUCCAAUUUGGUUAUAUUAUAUCAUGGACUCGCAAAAACGGAUCUGAAUUUGACUGAAAUGCACGAUCUUCACAGGUAUCACUUUUCACGAUACCUAAAAGGUGGAAUAGCGAUUUUCGAACCAUUUCCUAUAAGAGAAUGGUUUCCAUUACUUUGAGAAAUGGAUUCUUGAGACCGGAAUUUCCAAUAGGAUGGCUUCGUUCUCGUUCCAAGAUGGUGACUUUGAAGACUUGAAGAAACUCUGCUGCGCUAUAGCUGAUGGCCUUGUUACCUAAGCCUGCACCGUAUGCAAGCAUCAACAAUGUGUGCAGCGGUUCAUUAUGUAAAAUCACCCAGAAUGUUACUGCAACUAUAAACAUAUCGUGUAUCAUGCUCUCCCAUUCCCCGUGUUUGGCGUGUUAUGCAUAAAUACUAUGAAACAUAUGUCUGAAGACAUCCGGGUUGAUGAAUAAAGCUUGCUGUUCUCCUCAUGAAUCAAUCUCUGAAUAUUUGCAAGGAUUGUGCAAUGAUAUUUCAGCUACUACAUUUGUAGUUUACAGAAUCAACUUUGCAGCAUUUCUG